UACGUAGGGAGCAAGCGUUGUUCGGAUUUACUGGGCGUAAAGGGCGCGUAGGCGGCGUGUCAAGUCGAUUGUGAAAUCUCCGGGCUUAACUCGGAACGGCCAAUCGAUACUGACGUGCUAGAGUGCAGAAAGGGCAAUCGGAAUUCUUGGUGUAGCGGUGAAAUGCGUAGAUAUCCGAAAGAACACCGGUGGCGAAGGCGACUCGCUGGGCUCUUGCUGACACUGAAUCACGACAGCGUGGGGAGCAAACAGG
rnacentral:rRNA from 1 species